UAACGCGUGAGCAACCUGCCUUUCAGAGGGGGAUAACAGUUGGAAACGACUGCUAAUACCGCAUAACGCUGCGAUGGGGCAUCCCGAUGCAGCCAAAGGAGCAAUCCGCUGAAAGAUGGGCUCGCGGCCGAUUAGCUAGUUGGUGGGGCAACGGCCCACCAAGGCGACGAUCGGUAGCCGGACUGAGAGGUUGAUCGGCCACAUUGGGACUGAGACACGGCCCAGACUCCUACGGAAGGCAGCAG
rnacentral:rRNA from 1 species